CAAGCUUAAAUAAAAGCCACAACCCUACCAACACACAUUUUCUUCGAUCUACAAUGACUGCAGAGUUUCUUCCCUUUAGCAGUGUUAAAAGGUGCUUGUAUGUGUCAUUUGAGUCUUUGAGAAGUCUCUAUUCCACACAGGAGCUUGAUGGCGUCUCUGUGGCCGAAAUAAAUCUCCUUCAAAGGAUAUAAUCCAACAUGUCCUCUGAUUUUUGUUUAUUUUGCUGAGUCAGUAUCUCUGUAUAAUUUGUAUCUUCUAGUUUAUGUUGCAGCUAAAGGGUGAAUAUUGUCUGAUUAGGUUCUAGAUAAUUUUGUAAACAAUUUAUAAAGACUUAUAAAAAUUGUAAAGUCUAUAAGCAAUUU